rnacentral:rRNA from 1 species
ACGGGUGCGGAACACGUACGCAACCUUCCUUUAAGUGGGGGAUAGCCCGGGGAAACCCGGAUUAAUACCCCGUAAAAUUGUGUGGUGGCAUCACCAUAUAAUUAAAGCUCCGGCGCUUAAAGAUGGGCGUGCGCCUGAUUAGGUAGUUGGCGGAGUAAAAGCCCACCAAGCCUACGAUCAGUAACUGGUGUGAGAGCACGACCAGUCACACGGGCACUGAGACACGGGCCCGACUCCUACGGGAGGCAGCAGUAAGGAAUAUUGGGCAAUGGACGCAAGUCUGACCCAGCCAUGCCGCGUGGAGGAUGAAGGUCCUCUGGAUUGUAAACUUCUUUUAUUUGGGAAGAAACCCAACUUUUCCAAGUUGGUUGACGGUACCAGAUGAAUAAGCACCGGCUAACUCCGUGCCAGCAGCCGCGGUAAUACGGAGGGUGCAAGCGUUAUCCGGAUUCACUGGGUUUAAAGGGUGCGUAGGUGGGUUGGUAAGUCCGUGGUGAAAUCCCCGAGCUUAACUCGGGAACUGCCGUGGAUACUAUCAAUCUUGAAUAUUGUGGAGGUAAGCGGAAUAUGUCAUGUAGCGGUGA